rnacentral:rRNA from 3 species
CGAAAGCCUGACGGAGCAAUACCGCGUGAGGGAGGAAGGCUCUUGGGUUGUAAACCUCUUUUGAUUGGGAAGAAGAACUGACGGUACCAAUCGAAUCAGCAUCGGCUAACUCCGUGCCAGCAGCCGCGGUAAUACGGAGGAUGCAAGCGUUAUCCGGAUUUAUUGGGCGUAAAGCGUCCGCAGGUGGCUGGUCAAGUCUGCUGUCAAAGCGCGGGGCUUAACCCCGUAAAGGCGGUGGAAACUGGUCAGCUAGAGUCUGGUAGGGGUUGCGGGAAUUCCCAGUGUAGCGGUGAAAUGCGUAGAUAUUGGGAAGAACACCGGCGGCGAAAGCGCGCAACUGGACCAGAACUGACACUCAUGGACGAAAGCUAGGGGAGCG